rnacentral:rRNA from 1 species
UGAGUAACGCGUGGGGAACCUGCCCUUAAGUUCGGGAUACCAACUCGAAAGGGUUGUUAAUACCGGAUGUGCUGCAUUGGCCGUAUGGCGGAUGUAGUAAAGGGGAGACCCGCUUAAGGAUGGCCCUGCGUUCCAUUAGCUAGUUGGUGGGGUAACGGCCUACCAAGGCGACGAUGGAUAGCCGGCCUGAGAGGGCGACCGGCCACACUGGGACUGAGACACGGCCCAGACUCCUACGGGGGGCAGCAGUGGGGAAUCUUGCACAAUGGGCGGAAGCUUGAUGCAGCGACGCCGCGUGAGGGACGAAGGUCUUCGGAUCGUAAACCUCUGUCCAAAGGGACGAAGGAGUGACGGUACCUUUGGAGGAAGCCCCGGCCAACUACGUGCCAGCAGCCGCGGUAAGACGUAGGGGGCGAGCGUUGUCCGGAAUCAUUGGGCGUAAAGGGCGCGUAGGCGGUGACGUAAGUCAGGCGUGAA